AGUAAAUAGAUACCCCGGUAGUCCACGCCGUAAACGAUGAGUACUAGGUGUAGGAGGUAUCGACUCCUUCUGUGCCGCAGUUAAACACAAUAAGUACUCCGCCUGGGAAGUACGGUCGCAAGAUUAAAACUCAAAGGAAUUGACGGGGGCCCGCACAAGCAGCGGAGCAUGUGGUUUAAAUUCGAAGCAACGCGAAGAACCUUACCUAGACUUGACAUCUCCUGAAUAGUGUAGAGAUACAUGAAGCCCUUCGGGGUCAGGAAGACAGGUGGUGCAUGGUUGUCGUCAGCUCGUGUCGUGAGAUGUUGGGUUAAGUCCCGCAACGAGCGCAACCCUUAUUACUAGUUGCUACCAUUAAGUUGAGCACUCUAGUGAGACUGCCCGGGUUAACCGGGUAGGAA
rnacentral:rRNA from 1 species